rnacentral:snoRNA from 1 species
AGGGGGCAAGAAUGAUGAAUUAGUUAGAUGUAUGAAGAGAAUUUCCUUGAUGAACUUUAUUUUGAGUCUUAUUGAUAUUCUGACUCGCCACAU